rnacentral:tRNA from 1 species
GGGGUUGUGGCUCAGUGGUAAAGCUGAGGUCAAUAUAAAUGAGAAUAAUAAGAGAAAGGAAGAUAGAUUUUAUCUUUGCAGGCCCUGGGUUCGAUCCCCAGCACCACA